rnacentral:lncRNA from 1 species
GCUCCUUCGAAUCUAACUAACCAUUCACACGCAGCCCGCCCCCUGAUGACACUGCUUUGCUAAAUCGUCAUCCUUAUAACCGAAACACCCCCACCUCUCAUUUUGUUCUAGGGUUCUUCCUAUUCGUAGGUCAUUUAUGUGUUGCAGGGAUUGAUCUGCACUUGCUUGCUUCUGCUCUCCAUGACUUUGUCACUUUAGAACAAAUAUGUGCCAUUAGAGAUGGAUUUUUUGCUAUUAGGUAGAUGAGUUGUUGGGGAAGAUCCGGCCAUAACUCCAGAUUAUCGGCUGCUCCUUCUCUUUUGCUCUUCUUCUUUUCUUUACCCUCCAUUACUAGUUUCUUGGCAGGCAAGAAGUUUUAAAUAAACAUCUGCACUGAGUACCCUCCAAGAAUCAAUAAUCAUCAAGAAAACAAAACUAUAUGUUAAACAUG